rnacentral:lncRNA from 1 species
UUCUCCCCGCAGGGGCGGCGGCCUUGAGGGGCUGCAGAGGCACCCUCCCACGUCCCGCGCAGUGCAGUGCCUCCGCAGUCCAGAGGGGAGCAGUGCGCCGGGCUCCGAGCCGGACGGGUUUCGUAAUCGCGUCGCCGCCGCUUCCGCCCUCAGCCGGCCCCACCUCUGCCGGCUCGUACUCGGCUCCCCCACCUCGCCGCAGAGCUAGCCCGGGAAGCCCACACUGGCGGCCACGGAGCAGAGUCCCUCACCCCCACCAGCUGUAGCUGAACGUCUGGAUGGUGGAGAAGAGCAGAUGAUCUGUACUGGACACACGUGGAGAUAUGGCCAUGCCACGCAUGUGCAAACAGAGGUGUACACACAGGAGUGCAGUGAUACAGGACACAGAUAAACAGAAUGUACACAGCCUUCAGGAAGGAUCUCAAGGGUUCCGAGUCUGAGGAAGACAUAACCUUGUGCCUGCCUGCCCACCUCUCUCUCUGGUCCUGUUCAUCUCUCAGGCUCUGAGACACUGACCUUCACUGCUCAGUUAAAGGUUCCAGGGAUUCCACUUUGUCUGGACCCAUCCAGCUGAGUGAACCCAGGGUGGUGGUGUAUCUGGGGAGAGUGAGGAGUGGGUUGUCCAAACACCAGGGAAAGAGCCCUUUGGGGCCUCAGACAGCGGAGUGAAGCUGGAACCAUCAGGGAACAUGAGUGAAUUUUGGCACAAACUGGGCUGCUGUGUGGUAGAGAAACCCCAGCCGAAGAAGAAGAGAAGACGGAUUGACCGGACCAUGAUUGGGGAACCAAUGAAUUUUGUUCACCUGACUCACAUUGGCUCAGGGGAGAUGGGGGCCGGAGAUGGACUUGCCAUGACAGGUGCAGUUCAGGAGCAGAUGAGAUCCAAGGGAAACCGAGAUAGGCCAUGGAGCAAUUCUAGGGGCUUAUAGCUCCAAUAAU